AGUGAACGCUGGCGGUAGGCCUAACACAUGCAAGUCGAACGGCAGCACAGUAAGAGCUUGCUCUUACGGGUGGCGAGUGGCGGACGGGUGAGGAAUACAUCGGAAUCUACUUUUUCGUGGGGGAUAACGUAGGGAAACUUACGCUAAUACCGCAUACGACCUACGGGUGAAAGCAGGGGAUCUUCGGACCUUGCGCGAAUGAAUGAGCCGAUGUCGGAUUAGCUAGUUGGCGGGGUAAAGGCCCACCAAGGCGACGAUCCGUAGCUGGUCUGAGUGGAUGAUCGGCCACACUGGAACUGAGACACGGUCCAGACUCCUACGAGAGGCAGCAGUGGGGAAUAUUGGACAAUGGGCGCAAGCCUGAUCCAGCCAGACCGCGUGGGUGAAGAAGGCCUUCCGGUUGGAAAGCCCUUUUGUUGGGUAAGAAAAGCAGCAGGUUAAUACCCCGCGGUUCUGACGGUACCCAAAGAAUAAGCACCGGCUAACUUCGUG
rnacentral:rRNA from 1 species